AACAAACGCUUGCGGCGUGCCUAAUACAUGCAAGUCGAACGCCCUAGCAAUAGGGAGUGGCGCACGGGUGAGUAACAUGUGGGAAUAUGCCUUUUGGUACGGAACAACGUUUUGACACGAACGCUAAUACCGUAUGGUCCCUCCGGGGUAAAGAUUUAUCGCCAAAAGAUUAGCCCGCACUAGAUUAGCUAGUUGGUAAGGUAAUGGCUUACCAAGGCGACGAUCUAUAGCUGUUCUGAGAGGAAGAUCAGCCACACUGGGACUGAGACACGGCCCAGACUCCUACGGGAGGCAGCAGUUAGGAAUAUUGGACAAUGGGCGCAAGCCUGAUCCAGCCAUGCCGCGUGAGUGAUGAAGGCCUUCGGGUUGUAAAGCUCUUUAGCCGACGAAUAUAAUGACUGUAGUCGGAGAAUAAGCCCCGGCUAACUUCGUGCCAGCCGCCGCGUAAUAC
rnacentral:rRNA from 1 species